rnacentral:rRNA from 1 species
AGAGUUUGAUCCUGGCUCAGAAUCAACGCUGGCGGCGUGCCUAACACAUGCAAGUCGAACGAGAAAGGGACUUCGGUCCUGAGUACAGUGGCGCACGGGUGAGUAACACGUGACUAACCUACCCUGGAGUGGGGGAUAACUGAGGGAAACCUUAGCUAAUACCGCAUAACACCUACGGGUCAAAGGAGCAAUUCGCUUCA